AGUCGUAACAAGGUUUCCGUAGGUGAACCUGCGGAAGGAUCAUUAUAGAAUUGGCAGCUUGCUGCCUUCACUAUAACAUACUGUUCACGUUCCUGUUGCUUCCCUGGCACAUAGGAGGCCUGCCCUUCUGGGCUUGCUUCCGCCAGGGAAAUUUCUGUUAAACAUAUUGUGUAUUUAUUCUGAAUAGACCAUGAAAAUGGAUAUUAAAACUUUCAACAACGGAUCUCUAGGCUCUU
rnacentral:misc_RNA from 1 species